CCUACGGGAGGCAGCAGUAAGGAAUAUUGGUCAAUGGACGAAAGUCUGAACCAGCCAUGCCGCGUGGAGGAUGAAGGUCCUCUGGAUUGUAAACUUCUUUUAUAUGGGACGAAAAAAGGCCUUUCUAGGUCGUCUGACGGUACCAUAUGAAUAAGCACCGGCUAACUCCGUGCCAGCAGCCGCGGUAAU
rnacentral:rRNA from 1 species